rnacentral:rRNA from 1 species
CCCUUACUUGAGGAUAAAUUAUGUCUAAUAUUCAAACUGGCGCCGAGCGUAUGCCGCAUGACCUUUCCCAUCUUGGCUUCCUUGCUGGUCAGAUUGGUCGUCUUAUUACCAUUUCAACUACUCCGGUUAUCGCUGGCGACUCCUUCGAGAUGGACGCCGUUGGCGCUCUCCGUCUUUCUCCAUUGCGUCGUGGCCUUGCUAUUGACUCUACUGUAGACAUUUUUACUUUUUAUGUCCCUCAUCGUCACGUUUAUGGUGAACAGUGGAUUAAGUUCAUGAAGGAUGGUGUUAAUGCCACUCCUCUCCCGACUGUUAACACUACUGGUUAUAUUGACCAUGCCG